GGCUAGGUGGAUCAGAUCGAGCUUUUGAAAGUGUGUGGGUAUGGACAACUAGUGGACAGAUGUUUACAGUAACGGAUUGGCAUACACGUACUAUACACGAACCAAAUAAUCUGGAUGGAAACGAAGAUUGUCUGAACAUUCAUAAAAAAUUGGAUUUUGAAUGGAAUGAUGACAAAUGUUCAAACAAUUAUCGCUUUAUAUGCGAAAAAUCAUUGAUUUGAGUUAUGAAGCAACACAAGAAGAGACAACGAGUUAAAGUUUGAUAUGACAGUUCUACUUGCUGAUUAGUUAAUUUGUGGUAAUAAUCUUUCGGCGUGGCUCGAUAUCUAACCAUCUCGCCAUAGUGUUAUUUUGCUUUCAUGAUGAUCAUUUUUCGUAUGCUUGUCUUUUAUUGUUUUACAUAUGUGCUGUGUUUACAGAUUGGACAUGCCAAGUUUUGCCUUUUCAUUGUUGCUUGCGUAUAUAGGGAUUACGAUUAUAAACAAUUUUGACUGCCAAUUUGCCAAAAUAAUGGUAAUUUACAAAUGAGAGGUUUAUUUAACGUAUCAUGUAAAUAUAACGGAAUUUGAUGAGACUGUUAUUAAAGUGAGAGGGUUAGCGCUAAAGAACCAGGUUUAAUCCACCAUUUUCUACAUUUGAAAAUGCUUGUACCAAGUCAGGAAUUUUACAGUUCUUGUCCAUUCGUUUUUGAUGCGUUUUUUUAUAUGAUUUUGCCAUGUGAUUAUGGACUUUCCGAAUUGAUUUUCCUCUGAGUUCAGUAUUUUUUUGAUUUUACUUUUAGCUAGCCAAAAAAAACCAGGUUUAAUUAAAAAAAAUUGACAUAAGGAAAUGCUUGUAUCAAGUCCCGAAGAUGCAAUUCUUUCCCUUCGUAAUUAAGCUAUUAAGUUAAGGAACUUUCCGUCUUUAAUUUUUUUAAUCUUACUUUUUGUUACUGUAAAUACUAGACAAGAAGGGAUAUUUGUUACUUUCUGUGUUAGUAACAUAUAUAUCUAUCAAUAACAUUGAGAAUGGAAAUGGGGAAUGUGUCAAAGAGACAACAACCCGACCAUAGAACAGACAACAGCAGAAGGUCACAAAAAGGUCUUCAAUGCAGCGAGAAACUCCCGGACCCGAGGCGUCCUUCAGCCCCAUAACAAAUAUGUAUACUAGUUCAGUGAUAAUGAAGUUUAUCAAAACGAUAUAUAUACUGUAUAGCAUUAGUUAAUGAUUCGACCACCCUUAUCAAACCUUUUACUUCUAGACAAAAAAAAUAAACCAAUAAGAGCUACCUUAGCAUUCACACGAUAAUUAUGUAUGCAGAUUUCUUUUAAAGUAUUUAGAGCUAGUUAAAAAGACAGCCUAGUCUGCAUGAUUAUCUUUGUUAGAGUCUUCAAAAAUUUGUUUUGUAUAUGUGACUCUUUGUAUUUCUUUUGUGCUUAUAAUGUGACUCUGUACUUUAAAAGAUCCCGUUACUAUGAUAUUUGUCUAUAAUAUGUCAUUAUGAUAUAUUUCUAUUAUGAAUUACUAUAUACGCGUUGAACCACAAACGUCAAAAUCAAUCAAUGGCGUAGUGGAAUUAAUAAUUUUUUGAUUCUCAUAAAUUCUAUGUAUAACUUUUGGACUAGUUUGAAUCUCGGUCUAUUUCUGUAAUUUAUUCUUACAUACUUUUGAUUUUUUAACACUGUAUGCGUACAUUGCCUAUGUUAAUUCUAAAAUUGUUUGUAUGCACAUUGAACGACAAAUUUAUGUGACGUAUAUAAUUUUUCUGACGUUAGACACUCAAAUCAAUCCAUGUGUUCGUAGAUAGUAGAUGUUUUUGUGUCCUAUUAAAUUGUUCCUUUUAAAAGUUUUGGAUUCUCAUAUAUUCUAUGUAUAACUUUUGGACUAGGUUGAAUCUCGGUCUAUUUCUGUAAUUUAUUCUUACGUACUUUUGAUUUUUUAACCCUGUAUGCGUACAUUACCUAUGUAAAUUUUAAAAUUGUUUGUAUGCACAUUGAACGACAAAUUUAUGUGACGUAUAAAAUUUUUCUGACGUCAGACACUCAAAUCAAUCCAUGUGUUCGUAGAUAGUAGAUGUUUCUGUGUCCUGUUAAAUUGUUCCUUCUAAAAGUUUUGGAUUCUCAUAAAUUCUAUGUAUAACUUUUGGACUAGUUUGAAUCUCGGUCUAUUUCUGUAAUUUAUUCUUGCAUACUUUUGAUUUUUUAACCCUGUAUGCGUACAUUGCCUAUGUAAAUUUUAAAAUUGUUUGUAUGCACAUUGAACGACAAAUUUAUGUGACGUAUAUAAUUUUUCUGACGUCAGACACUCAAAUCAAUCCAUGUGUUCGUAAAUAGUAGAUGUUUUUGUGUCCUGUUAAAUUGUUCCUUUUAAAAUUGUUAUACGAUGAUGACUGAUGUACCCAUAUUUUGACUAUUUUAUCAAUUGUGACUGUUUAUUUAACGCAUCAUGUAAAUGUAGCGGAAUUUGAUGAGACUGUUAUUAAAGUGAGAGGGUUAGCGCUAUAGAACCAGGUUUAAUCCACCAUUUUCUACAUUUGAAAAUGCCUGUACCAAGUCAGGAAUAUGACAGUUCUUGUCCAUUCGUUUUUGAUGCGUUUUGUUUUUUGAUUUUGCCAUGUGAUUAUGGACUUUCCAAAUUGAUUUUCCUCUGAGUUCAGUAUUUUUGUGAUUUUACUUUGUAUUACCCUUCCGAAGAACCUUAGAUUAUUCUGGGGUUGAAGUCAUAAAACUUUGUUCAGUGCUCGGAGCAAAAAAAGCAUGCUAAAACAUGAAAUCCAGCAUUAUUAUUGGUUGAUUAUGGAGUAUGAGUACAAGAUUGACCUGAAAACUUUCUGACUUCAAGGCCUGAACGUAUUGAUAUGUUGCUAAGAAUUUUUUAAAUUUUCUAUGAAGAGUUCUUUUUUACCUUAUUGUCUUUCUUUACUUUUUUACGCAAUGUUGUCAUAUUACCUUUAAAAUUUGUGUUUAGUAUGUUCAUUUAUAGCACUUUUGUAUGCAUUUGGAUUGCUGUGCCCCAAUCUUACCAUUUUUUGCUUAUUAAGUCUUUGUUUUUUCUAACAUAUUUUGGUCAAUAAGAUAAAACUAUGUGACUGUGAAACACUUGAGGGUUUAAGUUAGCUAUCACACAAGAUUUAAAUCACCAUUUUGUAGAUAAAGAAAUGCCUGCUCAAAGUCAGAAUUAUGA